CCGCUUGCCAACAAUUUUGAUAAAAGAUCAGUAUUAAUUAGCGUCUGAAAUAUCUGUCGGGCACGACUUCCGCCACACCCUUUUGGUCGGGCAAAACAAGCUAAUCCCCCCCCCCUGCCGUAAUACCCAAGUUACAUCCUUGGCGGCAAUCACAUAAAGCGAAGCGUGAGUACCCCACCCAUGCAGAAAAAAAGGAUGAAAAAUAUGACACACUUUAAACAUUACUAAGGGAACGAACUUUCUGUGGUUCAGUAAAACACGUGAGCUAUAUAUAAAGUAUUUUGUUGCCAGUUUUAGAGUAUAUGAGUCUAAGAUAUAAUUGUUGUAGCAUGUAAGGUUUUAGAAAUCGUAUGGAAUGUAUAUAGAAUUGGUUUGUUGGAUUGAUUGAAAAAACUUUGUUUGAAUAAACGGAAAUUAGAAAAACGAGAUACAGUCCUAGUGGUUUGUUGACGGAAACAGCGAGCGACAAAUUCAAGCAAUAUUAGACUAAUAAUUUGAGACGAAGAACAAUAUUUCACAUGUACAUGUAAAAAUUAUGAUUCAUCUUAUCGUAAUUAUAUUACCCUGGGAAAAAUUAAAAUGAACAAGAAUUUUUGUAAUUUUAAAUCCUUGAAAGAUGUCUAGAGAAUUUUUUUGAAUUAUGAAGGAUUUUCCAGAGAUUUCGAGAUCUGUAGUCGUUUUCUGGGAUUUUUAAGGGACGGGUCAUUAUUUAUGGUGGGGGGUGGCACCGAAGAGAAAUGUUUUUCGUGGCAAACAUUUUGCUGACCUAACCAUUAAAAAGUCAAAAAUUUGAUUACCCAACCUCAAAUAUCAAGUAAAAAAUAAAUACCCACCCCUGGCC